UAACAUCCGGAAACGGGUGCUAAUACCGCAUAGUUUUCUUGAUUGCAUGAUUGAGAAAGGAAAGACGGCCUUUGUGCUGUCGCUUAUGGAUGGACCCGCGGCGUAUUAGUUAGUUGGUGAGGUAACGGCUCACCAAGACGAUGAUACGUAGCCGACCUGAGAGGGUGAUCGGCCACAUUGGGACUGAGACACGGCCCAAACUCCUACGGGAGGCAGCAGUAGGGAAUCCUCCGCAAUGGACGAAAGUCUGACGGAGCAACGCCGCGUGAGUGAAGAAAAGGUUUUCGGAUCGUAAAACUCUGUUGUCAGAGAAGAACAAGUUGGAGAGUAACUGCUCCAGCCUUGACGGUAUCUGACCAGAAAGCCACGGCUAACUACGUGCCAGCAGCGGC
rnacentral:rRNA from 1 species